GUUCCCAGCCAUGUGGCAGUGCCAGUCUUGCCCUGAGUUCUGCCCAGGAAAAGCAUCCUCACCCCCCACCAGCUCCCUUGUGCCUCAAAGGCCAAGUACAGAAAGGACAGGAGGAGGCCUGGGGCUCUGUGCCUUCUCUGUCCUCUGCUCUCUUCUCUCCCAGGUUCUGGGAGGACCUUGCUGCUGGUACAGGCAGAGGGGCAGCCACCAAAGGAAAGCCCUUUGGACACUCCAGAGCCAGAUCCAGGUCUGGUGGACUUGGGACUCCUACCGUGGAGCAAGCUCUCCAGGGCCACCCACAAGGUCCCGGGUAAAGGAUGCACUGGGAAACCUCAUGCCUCAGCCCCACAAUACGAGUGUGCCCCCAACUCAGUUGGCCUCCCUGGGAAGUUCUGGAGUCCGCGAGUUGUGAGCCCUUGUGGAACACACAAGCAAACUGAGGCUGGAAGGAACACUGCUCAAGGUCAGAAGGAAG
rnacentral:lncRNA from 1 species